GUGCUCCCUUUGGCAGCACAUAUACUAAAAUUGGAACGAUACAGAGAUUAGCAUGGUCCCUGCUCAAGGAAGACAUCCAAAUUUGUGAAGCGUCCCAUAGUUUU
rfam:Tupaia chinensis contig36837, whole genome shotgun sequence.